rnacentral:misc_RNA from 1 species
CUCCGCUGGGCAUAUCCUUUGUUAUCAACUACCAGGCUUGUACUCGUGUCAAUCUGCUUUGCUUGCUACAGCACCUGCGUGUCUUAACCACAAGGCCUUUUUCCUCCUGCCUUGCCGCGUCCAUACCCCUACGUGUCCCUUUGCUUCCUUGCUCACCGUCAUAAUUCUCCUCUAUAAAUAGGCUCUCGAAUCAUUCGGUUUCUGUACGUUGCAUUCGCAUUAGCGUAUGGUCAAAGUGGGGGAACUCGAGAGCUUAUAGUUUGGUGAGGAACAUCUUUGUCAGCCAAAGAAGAAAGGGAAUUCAAGCGAGGACAAUGGCUUCUGGACAAGAACGAGCUGAACUUGACGCAAGGGCAAAGCAAGGAGAGACUGUUGUUCCUGGUGGAACUGGUGGCAAGAGCCUUGAAGCUCUGGAGCACCUUGCUGAAGCGGAGCCGAGGAGGGCAGACGAGGAGAGAUCAGCUAGGAACAGAGGGGUACAAGGAGCUGGGCCACCGUGGAGGUGAGACCAGUUAGGAGCAGAUGGGGACUGAAGGGUUUCACGAGAUGGGCCGCAAAGGUGGUCUUAGUUCCAUAGAUAAGUCUGGUGGAGAGCAUGCUGCCGAGGAAGGGAUUGAAAUUGAUGAGUCCAAGUACAGAACCCAUAGCUAGGUUCUGUGAGUCGGUAUCUUCUUUAACUAGUCCUUGGUGUUUGGUAGCUGUAGGGUUUCCAGGAUACGUUAGUUGUAAUUGGAAUAUGUAUGGGUCGUUUUUGUUCCCAGGUUUUUUAAACGAACUCCUGCUACGUGGAGGAGACGUUCCAUGCAUGGCUUUUGGGUUUUCUUUAAGGCUUUUUUUGUUAUAUUGCCUCUUUUUGUGUAGACUGAAGUUGGCUUGUGUGAACUUCCAUAAUGUAAGUUAUGACAGUCACUUUUGUUUCGAC